CAAGGCAACAGGCCCUUCACUCCCAAUUGAACCCCUACCAUCCCGCGUUGUCCCCCACCUGAACACCGUUAUCCCCGUUGGCCUCCGCCACACCCCUUCUCUUAUUCUUCCCUACUUACUUUUCUCGUGUUUUGUACUUCCAUUAUUUUUCUACCCAAAUCCCAUUCCUUUCCGUUUAUUCCCAAAGUUACUACAUAGCCACAUUCUACACCGGUGACUCCAUUGUCACCAUCUAAUCUUUGCUAAAUUCUUCUUAAAUUAGAAGUUACCGGUGAUUUAUAUUGAACAGUUAUUUUGUUGAUUUUGUUUGUGGUUUUGGUAAUUAGCUUAAAUACUUGUAUCUUGAAUUUUGAUUUUGGCAUCUUUAUGGUAAAGUUUCUAUUUCACAAAAAAUGGGGUUGGGUGUUUGUAUAUUGCUCUGUCGGUGAUAGAUCCCGUUUUUCCCCUAUAAGUUGUGUGAUUUAUGGGUUAUUUUCUGCAUGAUUUUAUGAUUUUUUGUUCUUAGCUUUUUUUGGUGGUUCAAUGGGUCUUAAUUGCAGUUUGACUAGUGAAGUUUGAACUUUGUAUUUGAAACAGAGGUAGAUUUUGCUGGGACAAAGUAGUAAUUUUGAUUUUUGAAGGUCUUGGGGGUGAUGGCAUCACCCAUGGUGUAAAGUAAUUUUAUUAUUUCACAGGUUUACUCUCUCUCUCCCUCUUCACUGCCCUAGCGACAACAUUGUCGUUGCGCCAAUCAGAUUCACCCACAAAUUUCAGAUCUAGAAGAUUUGGCCGGAAUUUAAAUAUUUCGGCUACCUCUUUGCGCGUGUCGUUUUGGAGUUGCUCCGGUGUUUAUUGUCGUGGUAGUAACGCCGUCUCCAGAUGUUAACUCUACCGUUAAUCCCCUUGAAUCUGGUGGAAACCAUUUUCUCCGACGACCUUCACGUUAUUGGAUUUUUUUUACUGCCUGGCGAACUUUCCAUUCCGGCAUGUUUUUGACUGGGCUGGCUUUGAAGAAAUGUUUUUGCUUAGCUUUGUCUGUUCUUAGGGAUAUACCAUCGUUCUGUGAUAUUUUGUUGUAGUGAUUUAUUUCGAAGCGGUACAUAUUGAUGAGACUGAUAAGAUUAGAAUAUUACAAUGACAAAUUUGGAUUUAAA